UGCCUACGGGGGGCAGCAGUGGGGAAUAUUGCACAAUGGAGAAACCCUGAUGCAGCGACGCCGCGUGAAGGAAGAAGUAUUUCGGUAUGUAAACUUCUAUCAGCAGGGAAGAAAAUGACGGUGCCUGACUAAGAAGCCCCGGCUAACUACGUGCCAGCAGCCGCGGUAAUACGUAGGGGGCAAGCGUUAUCCGGAUUUACUGGGUGUAAAGGGAGCGUAGACGGCAUAGCAAGUCUGAAGUGAAAGCCCGUGGCUCAACCGCGGAACUGCUUUGGAAACUGUUAAGCUGGAGUACUGGAGAGGCA
rnacentral:rRNA from 1 species